UUAUAACUUUGCAAAGUGCCUGGGUGGCUGGCUCAGUAGGUUAAGCAUCUGACUUGAUUUGGGCUCAGGUCAUGAUAUCACGGUUCACGAGUUCAGGCCCAGGUCGGGCUCGCACUGCCAGUGCAAAUCCUAUUUGGGAUUCUCCCUCUCUCUCUCCCCCCUCUCUCUGCUUCUCUCUCUCUCUCUCUCAAAAUAAGUAAACUUAAAAAAAAGUUUUAUAAUUUUGCUUUUCAUAUUUAAGUCUUAAAUCUCCUGGAAUUGGUUUAUUGUGCGUGAUGUGAGGUAGAGGACCGGUUUUAUUUUUGUGUGUGUGUAACCAGGCGUCCCAAUACCAUCUUUUGAGAAAUCCAGCCUUUUUUCCACUAAUUUGUAUUGCCGGGUAUGUCAAAAAUGAAAUUUCCAGAAAUGUGCGAAUCCACUUCUGGGUUCCGUUUUGUUCCACUGGUCUGUCUGCUCCUGUAUCAGUACCUUCCUGUCUAGCUUUUGAAUAAUUGUUGAUAUUUGGUGUGGCACUUCCCCACCUAGUCCUUCUUUUUCAAGAAUAUUUUGAUUAUUGGCCCUUUGCUCUUCUGUAAAGUUUUUAGAAGCAGCCUGUCUUGCUCCACAAACUAACCACUUGGGAUUUUAAAUGAAAUUGCAUUAAAUUGCAUCUGUAGAUCCUUUGAGUGCUGGGCUUUCCUUAUUCCUCCCUUGCCUACUUGGACAGUCUCUCCAAGCACAUUAUGAAACACUUCUCCACACUGUUUCCUGCGUGCCAAGUUGCAGCCUUCCCUUGAGAAUAUAGAAUAGAUUUCAGAACCUUUGUCUUCUGUGUUAUGUCUUUGAGGUAAACUUUGCUUGAAAAUCCAACCGUAAGAAUUUGGGGCCGCUGUUCAAUUUGCUGCCUCCAGAAAGGAAACUCGGGCUCUUCGGGAUUUUGCCUUGGCUGUGUUUCAGAGCCUAGUUCCGUGGAGUGGGAGGACUUGCUUGUGUGCCUUUAAUGUCUAUGGGACAGUGCUGUGCGAGCCAAUAGGAGCUCAUGAAUGCUCUUACUAUUAGUAAUGCCCAAAUGCGGGAAGUGUAUCUUGGCUUGGAAUGAGAAAGGUUCCUGGGAAGUUUUCUUGGCUCUGUUUUCUCAAGAUUUAUAUAGGACACAACAGUAAUUCUUUUGUUGUUGUUGUUGUUGUUGUUGUUGUUGUUGUUGUUGUUGUUGUUUUUGUCUUUCUGACUCCAGGGUAAUUUUUAAGGAGAGACUAGUUAACCACAGUAUUGCAAGUUUUCUUAAAUACACUGGUGUUUUGACCAAAUGGGACAGAAGUGCACAUUAAAUUCAUAAAAAUUCUUUUCCUUACCUUCUUGGAAGUUUGGAAACUCAUUCUCCUUUGCAUUUCUUUUGAGUCCUCUAGGCAAAUUUGCGUGUGUGUGUGUGUGUGUGUGUGUGUGUGUGUGUGUGUGUGUGUUUUAGGGGGAGAAGGGAUAGAAGUCUUCCUUCAGGAGAUAAAGCUCACCAAGCAGCUGAUCAGGCCUUUGUAGGCCUUGAAUUUGCUUUGUAUUGUGGUGUUUUAUUUUGACACCAGGAACUAGAAAUACAACAUUAUCUGAUAUUCUUAAGGGCCCUUUUGGCACCCAGGGAAUUCCUGGAUCUCCUGUGUGAAUUAACAUAAAGCAGGAUUUAAAACUCUGCUGUAGCCUACCCCACUACUUAUUCAGUCUUCUUUAGGAAUUGGACCAGCUCUUCCUUGCAUCGUUUGCAACUCAUCAGGGCCUGUGCUUUACUCAAGACUUUCUGAGUAGACCUGACCCUCUGUCCAGACAAAGGGCAAGGAGGCAGGAGGCAGCCUGAGACUCUGGAAGGAGGGGCUCUGCGGCAUCAUUAAAGACAUCAAUAGUCAGCUCAGUCAUUAUGCUGUGACAGGUGUUGGUAUUCUUUAUUCAACUGUUAAUUUAUGUGUGUAAUCCAUUUUGAUUUUAGACCGUGAACAUGUUAAAUUUUAAAAUGCAAUUAGAAUACUUCAGAAGCUAGGUUUUCCCCCUGUGCUUCUUCUAAAGAACAGCAUUGGACCAAGGAAUUCUGGGAACAGAAGAUGGGAGGACCUGAGACCCCAGUGGCUGGCAGAAAGAGCCCUGCAGGACUGCUCUCAGGCAGGCAGGCCCCAGAGGAGAAUGUGGGCAGGAGGGACUCUCUCUAGGCAGAGACACUUUGGGUUCACUUCUGGAUUGUUGUUGAAGUGAUUGUGGUCAUUUUGUCCGUGGAGAAACACACCCAUGACCAGCACAGUGAUGGCCAGGCGUUCACCUCUGUUUUGCAGGGGCACUGAUCACAUCCGCUUCUUGGUUCUGCGCACAAGAGUGAGACAUUGUUUAGCUGGGACUUCUCAGAAUUUAAGUCAUGGGACUAAAUAACACGUAGCCUGACUUUUUUAUUGGCAGUCUGGAAUUACCUUCCGGAACAACUGAGUAAAAGCAUACAGAGCUGUGCUGUCUCCUAUAGCUAGAGGGAGCGAGGGAAAUACCUUCAAAGCCUCUGGUUGUGGCAUCAGAGCCUUUGAUCCAGAUCAUAUGUGACAAGAAUUUUUAAGUGCUACUCAUCAAGCCAAUUUUCCUCUUAUCUGGGGUUAGUGUUCAACCUCUUAUCUCUGCUCUUGCCUUAAGCAGCUAACACUUGCCUCUUUAUUUGCUGCCCUAUGUGAGUAACUGUUGAAAUGAUUGCUUGAGUUCCCAGGGGAGAAUCCCUACUCUCCUUAUUAACACUGGGGGUGUGGGUGCUCUUAGUAGCCCAGGGCUUCCAGAGCGGCACAUCACAGCACCAUCCCUGUAGGGAGAACACUGCCACACCAGUGUGUCUUCAGGGGACAACUCUGCUAUCUGUGUCCACGCGGAACUCAGGGAUAGAGCGAACUUUACAAACGUCCUGGUUCACCCCAUCCCCUGACUACACAGUAGAAAGACAAGCACACAGUGGACUAGACUGUAGAGCCCAGGCCCCCCGAGUCACUGGGCCCCAGGGUGUUUCGGGGUGAUAUAGUGAGUUGUACAACAUUUUUUCCAUUCUCAGUUCAGCAUCAGAAAUGCAGAUUCUCUAUAGCUUAAACUCCUGAAGGGUCUUCUGAACUUUCUUUCUGCUUAAGGAGUUUGUGAUCUAAACCAGUAAUUUUCAGUCUGGGGUUUGUGACGCUCCAGUAUGUUACACAUUAUCAUAAGAGAAUAUUUUUAAAGUUCAGUAAUAGAGUUCAUUGUAAUUAGGUAUAAUUUUUAACAUAAGUAUAUGUCCUUUGAUGUGUUUUAAGAAUGGAUUUAUGGUGUCACGAACUUAAAUAAUGGGAUGUUGCAAGUCCCCCAAGCUCGACCUUUCCAGUCUGUCCAUCAAAACUAAUUCUAUAUUGAAGUGUCCAAGGUAGCCAGCUAAAGAUUAGCAGCGGCCCACCCCCAUCACUCGUACGUCCAGACGUACACACGCACACAUGUUUACCAUCUGACCAAGAUUCCAAGCCAAGGCCCGAGACGGAAAGUGAAUUUUUUCAUUCACAUGGAGGGAGCUGUGAGUGCCGCCAACUUCUGCUGACAUUGGGAUCCUUGUGGGCAGAGAGUGGACCGGGGAUCAUCGCAGCCACGGGCGGUGAUUUCCCCACUGGUGCUUCAGGCCGCAGCCCGGCCGGCUGACCUUUUUUGGCUUUGUUUUCUUAAAGAGUCAUAUCGGGACUUCUAAUUUGAAAGCAUAAUCCCAAAGCCACUCGGCAUCUGCCUGCAAAAAGCCUGUGUGUGCUGAAGCACUCCCCUCCUGAUAACUGAGCACGGGGCCUGCUUUCACUCCUCCAGGCAGACUUCACUACGGCCAUCUUCUUCAGUGCGCUUAACACAGGCCCCAGCCGUUCGCACGUCACAGACCAGGAAACAUCCAGCCCUUGAAAAAUGGAAGUUGUAAUUGUAGUGUCCGAGUGUUCACUUGGACCAGAGUCGGACACCCUUGUUAAUUCAAGUUAAGACUCUGCCCCUGGGACAGCGUCAGGCCAAGGCUUGUGCAGCUCAUCACGCAAGUGAUCCUGGCCCGGUGGUUCUGAGCGAACAUCCGCGUGUACAUGAGGCAACACUGGGGGACACUUGUUCUCAUUUUACAUUUGAACAUCCCUCGGGACAGGAAAUAAUUUUCGUUUUUGAGUUACCCUAACAAAUGAAGUGGAUUGAAGGACUCUUUUGGGGUUGUUUUUUGGUUUUUACUUUAAUGCAUGAAGUCCCAUAGCAGUACUUAAUAAUCUUGAGGAGUUUAAUCCUCAUAGCUAAUUUCCUAUCUGCUCACGUUUACGACAAGUUUGUAAACCUUCACUGAGAGAUUAGCAAAUUUCUUAUUUCUAAAAUUGAGAAUAUAUAGUUUUUAGGAACAUUGA